rnacentral:misc_RNA from 1 species
ACCAAUCUUCUUGUUUUCUUUUGCCCAAAAUGUGUGUACUGAAAGAAGUACACCUUUGAUUGAAUCUUCAAUAAUGCUGUACCAUUUUCUGCGAGAAUGGGGAAGAGAAAAGAGUACAUCAACUCAUCAGUUUUCUGAGUCUUCUUUCAGCAAGACUAGCUACCUUGUUCUGUGGUUCAAGAACAAGAGCAUGCUUGAAAUCUUGAGCAGCUUCUUUAUAGAAGAGAAGUGAUUCUCUAGCUGUUCCACGCCUCAAAUAUGCCUUUACAUUCUUUUUAUCAAGUGAUAUUGCCUUGCUGCAGUCUUCUUCAGCUUGCUGAAAGCAUCCUAAUUCUAAGUA